CAUUUUCUUGUUUACCGCGAAGACUCCUAACCUCAAAAACGCUUUGGUUUACCGCUAUCAAUUGGAAUUCACUUUUAUUGUAUUGUUGUUCUCUAGUAUUGUUUUAGUUAUAGUUACAAAUAGUUCGUUGUUGCCUUCGUAGUGGUUAGUUUUAGUGUUUUAACAAUGGCGCCUAGUUCUGCAACGAAAGUAAGGAGCUACUCCUGCCCGUAUCAAGAGUAAAAACGAUAAUGAAAAGUUCGCCGGAUGUUGAAAACGUUGGACAAGACGCUCUUCAUUUGGUCACAAAAUCCACGUACCUGACUAGAAUGUCUUACAAGAAGUCGCCGGAUGGUAAUAAGCUAGAAUACAAACAAUUAGCUGAGUUUGUCCAGAAUAAAAACAGUAUGAGGUUUUUAAGAGAAAUCUUACCAAAGAAAAUUACCGUGAAACAGUACAAGCAAAUGUUGAGAAGUCAAGGUGAAUUGCAUACCUCAGACUCAUCAUCAGAUUCAGGGAGUUCAGAUGACUCAGAAUCAGAAGAUUCAGAAGAAUCAGACGAUUCAGACAAGUCAGAGGGAACGGAAGGAGACGAACAAGAGAAGAGCGGGAAAGAUAAAUCAUAGUUUUCCACCAUGUUCAAGAGCACAAUGUUUCAAAUUUGUAUAAGUAUGUAAAAAAAAAUUCUGUAAUUCUACUUUUAAGUGAUCAGUCAACAGAAAGAAGUGGUCACAUAACUUUCUCAUUCCACUGAAGAGACUAAAAAACUGAAGUUUCAACAUAACCUAAGUACUUACCAAUUUAAAAAUGUCAAAAUGAAUGAAAUGCCAAGUAAUCAGAUCGUAGGUCAUGCUAAUUAAUUACUCUCCUAUAUACAUAUUGGUAUUUGAUAGACACGCUAAGUGGAGCGUCAGUCUGGGGUAUUAAUGCGGGUGUUACCUGUUGAACCUUACAGGCCUGCAGGCUGAUGACUUUUGAUUAACAACUCCGAAUCAACUCUCACCAAAACAAAAGGCUUUUCCAAAUUUUUAUUUAUUUUAUUUAAUUUUAACAGUAUACACCCGCAUUGAUACCUUAUCGUAGAAAGCAUGGAAUACAACAAAAUUUGCCAAAAUGAAGGUGAAUAAUAGAAAUAAUAAUAAUAAUAAUAUGGUGAAUAAUAUAAUAAUAUGGUGGGUGAAUAAUUUUGCCUAAUAGAAGGGUCCAAUGUCCCUGUCUAUGUUCAAUAAUAGUUCAUUCACCAGUAUUGUAGCAGUAAGUUUGUUUUACUCAGAACAACGAAUCAAUAUGUCACACACCAAAAUGGAAAACUCAUUCAUCAAAAGGACUAUGCACGGAUUGCAAAGAAAUUUAGCAUCAGCUGAAUUUAUAUAUCUUUUGAUUGAUGUUCCUUACAGCCUUCUAAUCACAAUAUGCUUUUCAAAUAAAACUUUCGAUGUGCCAAUCUUGUGGAAAGCUGUGCUUAAAGGUGAAUUCACUGGCAUUUGUACACUCCAGAACUAGACAAAAUGUUGCCUUAUUUAAGAGGGCUGAAAAAGCCACUUUUCAGCUCUACUUUUCUCAAGGUUGACACAUGAAAAGUUCGAUUUUAAAAGCUCAUAGUGCCCAGGAGGUCGCAAGGAACAUCAUAUCAAAAAAUAUCGAAAUUUAGCCAGUGCUGACUUUCUUGGUAUUCCAAGCGUGGUCCUUUUUUUAUGAUGCCUCAAAUACCUAUCACGCUUCCCUAUUGAGAAAGAAAAGAAAUACAGGGAAGAGAGCCAAGCAAUGUGGUAAUUUAAUUUAGUAGACUUACAUUCUUUGAUGAGUGAUGCAAAGAUACGUUACGAACAAAAAUGAUGCGAAGGAAGGAAGCACGCUCGUAUUACUUUGUUGAUGUUUUUUUUUGCUCUUAUUAUUCUGCACAGAAAAACAUAGUCCCUUAACUCUAACUCUAUGUACCAGUCGAUUUCAGAAACUGUGUAUGUUACGAAAGUGCAAAAACUGUGUCAGUUCUCAUUGAUGUUGCUUUAGUUGAAUUUCAACUAGUGCAAUACUUAUCAUUGCUCUUUCUGAAUGAAUUCUAUAAUUGAAUCCAUGAACCAUUUUUGAAACCCUGUUUUUACAAUUUUAAUCAGUUGAAAACUUGAACUGAUAUACCUUACAGAACUGUUGCAUCACCUUUUCAAGCUAUAUUUUAAAAUGUUAGUUCAAUUGUUUCAAGCAAGCCGUUGCAAAUGUUAUUUUCUUUUUUUUUUUUUUUUUCUUUGUUUCACCUCUUGAUUGACAGGCAGUAUUUUAAAAAGCCAUAGUGGCCUAACUUGUCUCACAAAAGUAUGUAAAUGACUUCUGUUACAGUUUUUUUUUUCAGUAAAAAACACACUACUUGUAUAGUUGAGUUGAUCUCAUUCCAUAAUAAAAUACUCAUUUCACGAUUAAAAAAAGUUAUUCUUUUUCAAAAAUUGAAAAACUCUUCACCUGUCAUCAACGGAGACUGAAAUUCAAUAGCAGAGACCUAAAGCAUACAUAAUUAUUGACAAAAGAAUAUCAGUAGUUUCCCUGAUUGAAAUUCACUGAUUUUUACAGUUUUUGGCAGAAAAUUGGGGCUGUGCACAUUGUAUGUCAUGCUCUGGGGAGGGUCUAAGCCUGUGUUAUGAAAGUGUUUUAGAAGGGACGGGGAGUCCAGAACUGUUUUGUAAAAGUCCUUUCCUCGUAAACGGUCAUGUUUUUUAAUUUUAUAAAAUUAAGUCGAUGGUGGUUAGAUGGUCGAUGACGAACGAUGGUCUAAAAAAUUAUCCUGUACUUCUAGUCCUACCAGUAUAAUUUUCAAACAAAGAACUGUCUCGUAGGAAAAAAUUGUCACAAAUUCAUUUUCAGAAUUUAUCUCUGUACUCAUUCAAUUAAGAAAAUUAGUCAACAUAUUACUGAUAAAUACUAAUUCCACAGUGAAAA
rnacentral:lncRNA from 1 species